UGGCGGCAUGCCUAACACAUGCAAGUCGAACGAGACCUUCGGGUCUAGUGGCGCACGGGGUGCGUAAACGCGUGGGAAUCUGCCCUUGGGUUCGGAAUAACAGCGAGAAAUUGCUGCUAAUACCGGAUGAUGACGUAAGUCCAAAGAUUUAUCGCCGAAAGAUUGGCCCGCGUCUGAUUAGCUAGUUGGUAGGGUAAUGGCCUACCAAGGCGACGAUCAGUAGCUGGUCUGAGAGGAUGAUCAGCCACAUUGGGACUGAGACACGGCCCAAACUCCUACGGGAGGCAGCAGUGGGGAAUAUUGGACAAUGGGCGCAAGCCUGAUCCAGCCAUGCCGCGUGAGUGAUGAAGGCCCUAGGGUUGUAAAGCUCUUUUGUGCGGGAAGAUAAUGACGGUACCGCAAGAAUAAGCCCCGGCUAACUUCGUG
rnacentral:rRNA from 1 species